rnacentral:lncRNA from 1 species
CGCAGUUUUGUAGUUAAGGGAACACAAUACUGUGUACUUACGUCAUAUAAAAAUGGCGUCUCGGGCCUGAGGUGAGCUUAGGUGACCAUGAUUUUCAUUGGGAGGAUUGCCUGAGGACACUAAGGCAAGCCAAUGGAGGCAGGAGUGCCCAGGGGAGUGCAGACACCUGUCUUCAAAAUCAACACUAUCAAGUUUCUUCUCAGAUUAUGGAUAUACUGCAAGGCACAGAUGACUGAUAAACUGUCUCGCUUCUUAGGAGGGAAAACACAUUGAAGUCUUAAUCCACAUCAGUCUCUGAAGGUGGUCCUGGGCCCUUAUAUUAUUUGGUUUGGCCCAC